UUUCCGUAGGUGAACCUGCGGAAGGAUCAUUAUUGUAUAACCGAGGUGCGAGGGCUGUCGCUGACCCGAAAGGUCGUGCACGCCCAAGUGCCCUCACACACAUCCAUCUCACCCCUAUGUGCACCACCGCGUGGGUCCCCCUUUGGCUUGUUCGGAGGGGGGCUUACGUUUUCACACAAACUUUGUAUGCAGUGUAGAAUGUAUUUUUUGUUUUUGCGAUCACGCAAUCAAUACAACUUUCAACAACGGAUCUCUUGGUUCUG
rnacentral:misc_RNA from 1 species